AGAGUUAAGCUUACAGUUGGUUCUGUAGUAAAUUUGCAACGUUUAUAGUGAGGUUCGAUUCCUUCUUAACUCUA
rnacentral:tRNA from 1 species